GAUCACGUGGCGUAAUUUGUUGCGUGUUUGGCUUAGGACCUAGAGGUCCCGGGUUCGAAUCCCGCCGUGUCA
rnacentral:tRNA from 1 species